rnacentral:lncRNA from 1 species
UUUAGGGAAAAAAAAUUACCGUGAAGAUACUGUAAAUAUCCCCCUCCAGGACUUGCUUUGGUGUGGAAGUGAUUCCGCUGUGAGUUGUGUCUUUUGCGUUGUUGCACUCUUCAUCAUAUUCAUCCGCAGGACCUCCAGCUCUAAAGGGUGUGAAGAGGAUACUGACCCACCAGAAAGAGACCCCACUGCUAGAACGAAUAAGAUGUGCUGAAAGCCGGAGCAUAACUUGGCCAUUCCAAGAUUUAACGACAAACUAACUACCCAUCAUUAACACUAAAGAAAGAAAACAAUCAGUAAGAGAUUAUAUAGACCUAAGAGAUGUUACAGACCGAAGAAGAACCUAUGGAUAACAGAAAUUAACAGAUAUUUAUGCGCCGGGCACUGUGGCUCAUGCCUGUAAUCCCAGCACUUUGGGAGGCUGAGGCGGGCAGAUCACGAGGUCAGGAGAUGGAGACCAUCCUGGCUAACACGGUGAAACCCCAUCUCUACUAACAAUACAAAAAAUUAGCUGGGCGUGGUGGCGGGCGCCUGUGGUCCCAGGGACUUGGGAGGCAGAGGGAGGAGAAUGGCGUGGACCCGGGAGGCGGAGCUUGCAG